AUUGAACGCUGGCGGCAGGCCUAACACAUGCAAGUCGAGCGGAUGAAGGGAGCUUGCUCCUGGAUUCAGCGGCGGACGGGUGAGUAAUGCCUAGGAAUCUGCCUGGUAGUGGGGGAUAACGUCCGGAAACGGGCGCUAAUACCGCAUACGUCCUGAGGGAGAAAGUGGGGGAUCUUCGGACCUCACGCUAUCAGAUGAGCCUAGGUCGGAUUAGCUAGUUGGUGGGGUAACGGCCUACCAAGGCGACGAUCCGUAACUGGUCUGAGAGGAUGAUCAGUCACACUGGAACUGAGACACGGUCCAGACUCCUACGGGAGGCAGCAGUGGGGAAUAUUGGACAAGGGGCGAAAGCCUGAUCCAGCCAUGCCGCGUGUGUGAAGAAGGUCUUCGGAUUGUAAAGCACUUUAAGUUGGGAGGAAGGGCGGUACGUUAAUACCUUGCUGUUUUGACGGUACCAACAGAAUAAGCACCGGCUAACUUCGUG
rnacentral:rRNA from 1 species